rnacentral:rRNA from 1 species
CCUACGGUAGGCAGCAGUGAGGAAUAUUGGUCAAUGGGCGGAAGCCUGAACCAGCCAAGUAGCGUGCGGGAUGAAGGCCCUACGGGUCGUAAACCGCUUUUGCACGGGGAUAACACCCUCCACUUGUGGAGGUCUGCAGGUACCGUGCGAAUAAGGGCCGGCUAAUUCCGUGCCAGCAGCCGCGGUAAUACGGAAGGCCCGAGCGUUAUCCGGAUUCAUUGGGCUUAAAGGGAGCGUAGGCGGGCGUUCAAGUCAGCUGUAAAAUCGCGCGGCUAACCCGCGCCCCGCAGUUGAAACUGGACGCCUUGAGUUCACAACAGGCAGGCGGAAUUCGUGGUGGAGCGGUGAAAUGCAUAGAUAUCACGAGGAACCCCGAUUGCGAAGGCAGCCUGCCGGGGUGCGACUGACGCUGAGGCUCGAAGGUGCGGGUAUCAAACAGGAUUAGAUACCCUUGUAGUC